rnacentral:rRNA from 1 species
UACGUAGGGGGCAAGCGUUGUCCGGAUUUAUUGGGCGUAAAGAGCGUGUAGGCGGCUAGGUAGGUCCGUUGUGAAAACUCGAGGCUCAACCUCGAGACGCCGAUGGAAACCAUCUAGCUAGAGUCCGGAAGAGGAGAGUGGAAUUCCUGGUGUAGCGGUGAAAUGCGCAGAUAUCAGGAAGAACACCCGUGGCGAAAGCGGCUCUCUGGACGGUUACUGACGCUAAGACUCGAAAGCGUGGGGAGCAAACAGG